rnacentral:ncRNA from 2 species
CUUGGUCAUUUAGAGGAAGUAAAAGUCGUAACAAGGUCUCCGUUGGUGAACCAGCGGAGGGAUCAUUACCGAGUUAUACAACUCAUCAACCCUGUGAACAUACCUAAAACGUUGCUUCGGCGGGAACAGACGGCCCUGUAACAACGGGCCGCCCCCGCCAGAGGACCCCUAACUCUGUUUUUAUAAUGUUUUUCUGAGUAAACAAGCAAAUAAAUUAAAACUUUCAACAACGGAUCUCUUGGCUCUGGCAUCGAUGAAGAACGCAGCGAAAUGCGAUAAGUAAUGUGAAUUGCAGAAUUCAGUGAAUCAUCGAAUCUUUGAACGCACAUUGCGCCCGCCAGUAUUCUGGCGGGCAUGCCUGUUCGAGCGUCAUUACAACCCUCAGGCCCCCGGGCCUGGCGUUGGGGAUCGGCAGAAGCCCCCUGUGGGCACACGCCGUCCCUCAAAUACAGUGGCGGUCCCGCCGCAGCUUCCAUUGCGUAGUAGCUAACACCUCGCAACUGGAGAGCGGCGCGGCCAUGCCGUAAAACACCCAACUUCUGAAUGUUGACCUCGAAUCAGGUAGGAAUACCCGCUGAACUUAAGCAUAUCAAUAAGCGGAGGA